rnacentral:rRNA from 1 species
GUACCUACGGGGCGCAGCAGUAGGGAAUUUUCGUCAAUGGGCGCAAGCCUGAACGAGCAAUGCCGCGUGAACGAGGAAGGUCUUCGGAUCGUAAAGUUCUGUUGAAGGGGAAAAAGAGCGGAGAGAGGAAAUGAACUCCGAUUGAUAUUACCCUUCGAGGAAGUCACGGCUAACUACGUGCCAGCAGCCGCGGUAAUACGUAGGUGGCGAGCGUUAUCCGGUAUGAUUGGGCGUAAAGGGUGCGUAGGCGGCCUGCUAAGUCUGGAGUGAAAGGUACGGGCUCAACCGGUACCGGCUCUGGAAAA